rnacentral:misc_RNA from 1 species
AGCAGCCGCGGUAAUUCCAGCUCCAAUAGCGUAUAUUAAAGUUGUUGCAGUUAAAAAGCUCGUAGUUGAAUUUCGGGAUCAGUAGGUUGGUCAUGCCUUUGGUAUGUACUGGCCUCACUGAUCCUCCUCUUGAAGAACCGUAAUGUUAUUAAUUGGUGUUGCGGGGAAUCAGGACUGUUACUUUGAAAAAAUUAGAGUGUUUAAAGCAGGCUCACGCUUGAAUACAUUAGCAUGGAAUAAUGAAAUAGGACGUAUGAUCCUAUUUUGUUGGUUUCUAGGAUUGACGUAAUGAUUAAUAGGGAUAGUUGGGGGCAUUAGUAUUCAAUUGUCAGAGGUGAAAUUCUUGGAUUUAUUGAAGACUAACUACUGCGAAAGCAUUUGCCAAGG